UUGCCAUGAUCGCUCAGGCUCCGGUUGACAGGGAUAGUCGCCGCCUCGGGACGGGGCCCGGGAAGGGACAAUCGCCUGCCGGGGCACCGCGACCUCACAAGCGAGCGCGCCACGUGACCAGGCCUGUCACAGAGGCGGCGGCGGCCAUCUUGGAAGAGGGCAGCGAGCCGCCAAGGCCCUAACACCCACCGACGCUGGGGAGCGCCCAGAAGCUGCCCAGGAGUGGCUGACAGUGAGGCUGAGGGUAAAAGGUGUUGAGCGCCUUCCUGUCCUGCUCCCGAGCCUGGAAGGGGAAGGACUUGUGAGGAGCGACAUCUUUUGCAAACACGAGACUCAGUUUCCCCAGCCCUACACACACUGGGGUAACUCCAAGCCCACAUCCACCCACUCAUUCCUUUCCUGCGAGCCUCAGACUGAGGCACAAGACCACCUUUGUUGGUUUUCAGGUUUCUCCCACAAAUAGAGAAGCCGUACAGAUUCCCAGUGUUUGCCGGUGCGUGUGUAUGUGUACCACAGGUGCCCCUGCUGUCCCAGGAGCCAGAAGAGGGCAUCAGUUUCUCUGAAACCGGAGUUACAGUUUUGGAGAACUGUAGCGGCUUUGUGGCUCUUCACGCCCCUGAACCCCCAAAUCAACUCUCUUUCUGGAGGUUGCUUCAAGGAAUCAGAAGACAAAGCUUUGCAUCACAAUCUAUUACUGGAGAAGAGGCCAAGAGGGCGCAGGCUCGGCUCGGUGCUAGCAUGCAUGGAGUCCUGGAUUCCAUCCUCAGCACAUUGGGAAGGAGGAAGAAGAGGAGGAGAAGGAGGCAUGGAGGAAACUUGAAGUCAUUUCGUCCAAUGAGUGGCUUGAGUACGUGAAGCUACCAGCCCUCACCAGAGAAGCCUCUCCUCACAGCCUAUGGAGACCUUCAUAGAAAACCACAACUGGACACAAUGCAGGCCUCAAAGGCUCCUCAAGCCCAGCCCCAAUGUGUACAUCUACAUCACUCGGAGCACAUCAUGGAGGAAGAGAUGGAAAUUGCAAGAGCCAGAAUCCCAAGAAGCCUGCUGUGGAAAAGUCUCUCAUAGAAACGGCUUCAUAAAGAAGACCAGAGCCCAGAAGCAUGGCGGUAUCAGUGGAUAUGUUAACAUGGAAGGAGGGACUUUUCUAGGGGUCCCACCCCUACACAGGCAACUAGCAACUGGUGGGGGAAGGAGACUCAGCCUCUCCCAGGCAUGAGUUCCCUUAUUGGCUAAUCCCAAAGACUUGAGGAGAAAGACACUGACGCAAAUUAUGGCCAAAUUAAAGCAAGCUAUAUUUGUGUGGGUAAGAUCUGGCUGGUGGCCGACUCUUCCUAAGGCAGAGUUCAAGAGAUCAGCUCUGAGCCAAUUUCUCAGGCUCCUUAUAGGGCAAAACCAUAGGGUGGGAGCAAGCAUGGUUACAAAAGCAAGACCAGGCAGUCAAGAUUAAAGCGAGCAGUUAAGGGGAUCUUCCUAGAACAUUUGUUACAGAACAUUCUAUGGUUAUGGGGUGGGGUGCAGCCCAGCUCUGAUGAACAAAAACUCAAGCUUUACAGUAGACAGGAACUUAACCAAACUAGAGAAUCAAAAUGGAGACAGGCUGGUCUCUCAGUUGUCCAAUGCAGAGUGGUCAGGCUUGAAACCAUAUACACACAACAAAAACAGACUCGGUAGGUUGUAUAUACAUACAUACAUACAUACAUACAUACAUACAUGUGUGUGUGUGUGUGUGUGUGUGUGUGUGUGUGUGUAAUAAUAAAAAGGCUAUCAACUUGGGGGAACAUGGGAGGGGCUGGAGGGAGGCAAGGGAUGGGCACUUUAUAAUAAAGGCAAUCAGGACAGCUGAAUGAUGAUCAAUCAAGAAUAAAAUGUGUGAGUCCCAGCUGAGUGUCACCACAGUGAGCAGCCUCAGCUACAACACAUGGGGCAGUCCCCGGGAGUGUCCAGUCAGCUCCCCAGAUUGGGAUCGAGGGUAAAUGACCACCUUUUGAACUGAGUUUGUGUUAGGGCCAGUCAGUAAAUGCCUGGCACCGUGCUUCCCAUUUGGACAAGAUAUGUGUGCAGUCAGGAGAAUGGUGCAUGAACAGGACCUAGACACAUCCAGCCUUAGACAACAGUGAGAUAUCCUUCAUUUCUGCUUCUGUACCCCAGGUCUGUGUUGGGCACUCCAGAGAUGAGUAAAAAAGGUCCUGGGGCCCGAGGACAGUCUUAUCCAUUUAUUGAACAGACACAUCCAUAAAUAAGUUCAGAACUUAAGUGCUAUAGCAGAUACACAAGUUCAGCUGAGCCUCAUGGCCAGGAUAACUUUUGAACAUGCCUUCAAAGUGUGAAUCACUCGCUGAGCAGAUGGGAUAGGGGUUGGCGACCAUAGGCAUGUGCCAAACCAAAGUGUGAAUCAUCCAUCAGCCUGGCAAAGUUGGCUGCCUACAAGAUCUAUGAUAUGGCUAGAACAUUUAUAUAUAGCAGUGUGUGGAGAGAGGGGUAGUGGGUGGGCUAUUCGAGUUUUUGCUAGCCAGGAGAGCAUGAAUGCCAUCUCUGAGUUUGACAGGGCCCCACAGGCUCAGACAGGGCUAAGAUGUUCCUGUUACUCCAGCUACUCAGUAAAGGGUGGGUCUCAGGGACUGCGUCCACAGGCAGCUGCAAGCUAGAAGUAGCCAACCAUCCCACCAGACACCUAUAUUCCAGGCACUGUUCUGGGUGUUGGGCACAGUUGGGGAGAGUGAGGAUAGAGAGAAGAGGGUAACCUAGGAAGUCUGAGGUAGAAUCAACAAUUUCACCCAAAUGAGGGAUGGCUGGAGGUAUUUUCCAGAAUGGAACCAGAGGGAUAUGCAUUUGGAGAGCAGUGGUGAGUUGACUGUGAACAGUGCAGACAUGUUGCUUUUGAGAUGCUUGGAAACCAUUGAGAACCAUCCCAGCCUGUAUCUCCAUCUAUGGCGUGGGUCAGUAAGCCUGGCCAAUCCCUGCUCUGAAUGUCCCAUCCCAGGUGAGCCCUGUGGUGUGUGUAUAUGUUUAUAUUCUGUUCGUCCUCUUUUGUGUUCUUAAAAUAUAUUAUUAUGGGACAGUCAGUGAGUCCCACCCCUCUGGACCUAGUUUGGUCACAUUUCAGGGACUUCAAAUGCCAAGCGGGGAGUCGGGUUAAUUGAUUGGAAAGCUAAUGAUCUUGUGCAGGAACGCUGACUGCCAGGCACUCUGUGUCCACCAGCUGCCUGCACUGCACUGCAGCUGCCACCCUGCUCCCUUCCUAAGCCAAGUUCUUCCCUGUUGAAGACUGAAUACAAUUUACAAUGCAAUGUUACUACACUGUAUUACACCUCCCUCCACCAAGGUUCGUGUCACUGCUACCUUACCACCUUAAUCCCUUCCUGUCCUGACACUGCCUAAAAUCCGAAUUAAACCAGCCUAUAUACUUUAGGAUGCCUUGGCUUCAGACUAAAAUUCAAAAAUAUAUUAUGUUCAGGAAAAAUUAUACUUUUGUUUCGAUGGGGAGUGAAUAUGCUUUCCUUCAAAAUUGAUAAAGAUAAGAUAGAUGGUUUUUGGUCAUUCAGAUUCGAUGGGUUAUAAAUAUUUGUCAUCAUCUAGGAGGGUUGGUUACAAAUUUUUAUUAUUGAUCAUGGUAAGAAA